CUGUGUCCUUCGACGCCGGUUCACCGCCUGUCGGUGCCAACUGGCGUUUUGCGGGACGUCCUGUCGGUGGUGUGCUAGGAAUCUUUGUUGUGCUAAGCUUUGCUCAGUGCAGCUCUGGUUUCGGGCCACUUUCAUAAUCCCGCCGCGGUGCUCUUAAUCGAGUGUCGAGGCGGGCCGGCACGUUUACUUUGAACAAAUUAGAGUGCUUCAAGCAGGCUUGUCACGCCUGUAUACUGUGUGCAUGGAAUAAUGGAAUAGGACCUCGGUUCUAUUUUGUUGGUUUCCGGAAUCUGAGGUAAUGAUCAAUGGGGACAGGCGGGGGCAUUCGUAUUGCGACGUUAGAGGUGAAAUUCUUGGAUCGUCGCAAGACGGACCGAAGCGAAAGCAUUUGCCAAGUAUGUUCCCGUCGAUCAAGAACGAAAGUUAGAGGUUCGAAGGCGAUCAGAUACCGCCCUAGUUCUAACCAUAAACAAUGCCUGCCAGCGAUCCGCCGGCGUCCCUCCGAUGACCCGGCGGGCAGCUUCCGGGAAACCAGAGCUUUUGGGUUCCGGGGGAAGUAUGGUUGCAAAGCUGAAACUUAAAGGAAUUGACGGAAGGGCACCACCAGGAGUGGAGCCUGCGGCUUAAUUUGACUCAACACGGGAAAACUCACCAGGCCCGGACACCGGAAGGAUUGACAGAUUGAUAGCUCUUUCUUGAUUCGGUGGGUGGUGGUGCAUGGCCGUUCUUAGUUGGUGGAGCGAUUUGUCUGGUUAAUUCCGAUAACGAACGAGACUCUAGCCUACUAACUAGACGUAUCUGGUAUCAGCAAUCGUGCUACCAGCGAUCAUAUCUCUUCUUAGAGGGACAGGCGGCUUCUAGCCGCACGAGACUGAGCAAUAACAGGUCUGUGAUGCCCUUAGAUGUCCUGGGCCGCACGCGCGCUACACUGAAGGAAUCAGCGUGUCUUCCCUGUCCGAAAGGAUCGGGUAACCCGCUGAACCUCCUUCGUGCUUGGGAUUGGGGCUUGCAAUUGUUCCCCAUGAACGAGGAAUUCCCAGUAAGCGCGAGUCAUAAGCUCGCGUUGAUUACGUCCCUGCCCUUUGUACACACCGCCCGUCGCUACUACCGAUUGAAUGAUUUAGUGAGGUCUUCGGACCGGUGCGCGGAGGCGGUUUACCGCUCCCGAUGUUGUCGGAAAGAUGACCAAACUUGAUCAUU
rnacentral:rRNA from 1 species